GUGAGUCAUCGAAUCUUUGAACGCACAUUGCGCCCGUUAGCAUUCUAGCGGGCAUGCCUGUUCGAGCGUCAUUUCAACCCUCAGAACCCCUGUAUUUUUGUACGGGGCGUGCUGGUGUUGGGGCCUUCUGCGGCUGCCGCAGGCCCUGAAAAACAGUGGCGGGCUCCGCUAUACUCCGAGCGCAGUAAUACUUCUCGCUCAGGGCGUGUAGUGGGGAUCUUGUCUUAAAAAAACUUUUUAAUGGUUGACCUCGGAUCAGGUAGGAAUACCCGCUGAACUUAAGCAUAUCAAUAAGCGGAG
rnacentral:misc_RNA from 1 species